rnacentral:lncRNA from 1 species
GGGGUUUAUGUUCUGGGUAUACAAUGACAACCCAAAGAGUAUCCUAAGCUGCGGUUCUCGAAUAAGCAUUUUUUUUUGUCCAGGUUUUGUUCGUUUCUUGAUGUUGCUGCCGGUGGUAUAUUUCUUGUACAUGCGUCGGACGUGGCCGGGUUGUCGGUGGUUAGUGUGUGCGGUUAUAUUUGACUUUUGGCCCCGGUGCGGGUAUGUACAUCGUAUUUGCGGCGCUGCUAAUGCAUGUCGAUGCCAAUAAAGGCGUCACUUGCGGUCUGCCCGCUCCCUCUUGCUGUUUAUCUUGCUGUUCACACCUGCAAAAACUUCUCGACGAACCAGAAAUUUUCCUCUUUUUGUACAGCAGUUUUCCCUGGCACUCGAAUACACUGCCCCGCAACCACUCAUCAUCGCCGUUCCUUUAGAAAUUCGUGUAAAUUGAAUUUAUUGAGGCGUGCGUGUGUGCGUAGUUGAUGGCUCUGGUGCGCGGUGGUGCAAAUUGGCUCCCACACCAUUCACAUUUACGAGGCGCUGGGUGCCACUUUCGAGAGCUGCCCUCCCGAUCGGGCCUUCCGGCGACAGCUGCAGCUGCCUCGUCGCUGCCGCUGCUGUCGACCUUAAUUUGCUGACCAGAUGAUGC